AAUAUUGCGCAAUGGGGGAAACCCUGACGCAGCGACGCCGCGUGAGCGAAGAAGGCCUUAGGGUCGUAAAGCUCUGUUAUAAGGGACGAACAUUAUCUAUGUAAACAAUGUAGAUAAAAGACGGUACCUAAUGAGUAAGCCUCGGCUAACUAUGUGCCAGCAGCCGCGGUACGACAUAGGGGGCUACCGUUGUCCGGAUUUACUGGGCGUAAAAGGAACGAAGCGGGGAAUUGAAGCCGGGGUGGAAAACCCGAACCUUACUGGGGGGGUUGCACUUAAACCUGAAUUUCUGAGGGGAAGGAAAGAAAGGCAGAAUCCUGGUGUUAGCGUUGAAAUCGUUAGAAUUAAGGAGGAAAACCGGUGGGAAAGGCGCCUUCCGGGCUUGCCCUUGACGUUAGGGUGCGAAGGCUUGGGAAGCAAAC
rnacentral:rRNA from 1 species